GGUAUGGUCAUUUCGCUAAUUCGUGUUUGCGGCCAGUUAAGAUGUUUAACUUAUAAAUUCAUUUGGAAAUUGAACUACAAUUAAAUACGUUUUUCAAUUGCAAACGAAUCGGGGAACGGAGUGGCGCGCGCUCAGUUAUUCCCAAACGCAAACCCUUUGUGACGCGGUGAAUAAAGAACGUUGUUAACGUUCCUUCCGUACUGCUGACACAGGUCUACAAACACGCUCCCCAAAGGUAGGCUUUUCCAACACUUUCUUAUUUUAGUUCGUUUUGGAUUUCAUUUUCACCUCAUGUAGUUUCUGUUCUGCGUGUUCUUGCGGAGUUCCAACAGGUGUCAUCGGGGAUGGUGAUGAGGACAGACGUGUGAAGGGCGUGCUCAAAGUUGAAGCAGCCUACUGUCCUCCACCGUCCUCAUGGCUGAAGAGAUCAGGAGAAUAGCUGCUCUGCUAGAUCAGCCUCUGAGUGAGAGAGACCAGGAACUCAUCACUUACGUCAAGCACAAGUUUGCCACCGACUUCAAGAAAGACCACAGUUACUUCCCUGAGAAGGUUGUUACCCGCAGUGACACACAGUAUGGCCUCAUACAAAAUGGCCAGGCCAGGAAGAACUACUACAGGAGACAGGAGCUGCUCAGUAAAGGCUUUUUCUCCCCUGUCAACAAACCAUACAAAACAGUGGGAAUGCUUUACUCUGACAACGUUGAUCUCUUCUCAACCUGGCUCACAUCAGAGGACCAAAAGUCACUGAAGACACAGUGGGACAAGAAGUUUGGAAAAAAUACAGUGAUCUCCAGCAAAUUCACUCAGGAGAAGACUAAAAAGGAGGAGAACGUCAGAGCCCCUCCAGUGGAGAACCUGAAUGGUUUCCUCCAGCUGAAGCAGUACAUGAGAGAGAUGGUCUCCAUCAGACGUGCUCUCCACACUGGGCGCCCCCUCAUAUAUUGCCUCAGAGACCAGGAUAAACCAUUAUUGCUCAUGAAGAAACCUGUGCCUCCCAGGACACCAUGUGACCGAGCCAUAUCAGGUCGGUCACCUAAAGCACAAUGCAGAAUGAAUUACAGUGCUCUACUACGGAGACAUUCUACUAUGCUGACCACAUGCUCACCCUCCGAUCCUUCUGUCUCCUCAGCUGAUAAAGAGACUGUACCACCACUGUCCAUGUCCAUGAACCAACAGGCACUGGACCCAGAGGAAGAGGAGAACCUACAGUACGUUGUGUACGGUCUAUUUAUGUGA
rnacentral:lncRNA from 13 species